UGCUGCCCCUCAGAAGUCACAUGUUACUGGUGCUCAAAGUUUAUAGGGACAAGCAAUCAAGAGGGCAGAACUAUUCAGGCUGGAAUAGAGCAACAGAAAGCAUGUGGCAGUUCCCAAGGCUCCUGGCCGGGUCACCACACUGCGGUUAGAGACAGAGCUGCCAGGGUCUGGGGCUGUAACAGCUCCAGGGUUAAUGAUCCAAGGCCAGGAACACAAGUCAGGAAGCGCUCCAAGAAGGGGGGACCUGAGGUGAGGCUUAGCUGGAUCCCUCCUCAGGGACCGUACCUCGCCAGGCUGAGAACUUCCCGAGGAAAGGGGCUGGAGCUUCGUUCACAUCUCACGUUGAGCAAACCAGGACGGUGCCUCCUAUACUUCCUUGUGUUUGUGCGCAGCCCAGCUCCCCUGGAACUUGUGGCAGCACAGAGGAUCCGGACUCGGUCAGGAAAAAUGGGAAGGUGUCAUGAAGGGAGCAGCAGGCAAGUGCUGGAGAGAAAAUCACAUUCUUCUCGACUAUGAAAAACCCACUUACCCUGAAAACACUCAUGAAAAAUGAAACACCCUGGCUUCUGACUGAACAGGUUUCUCUCCAUUUCUUCUCUAUCAAGAUAUUUGGCAAAAUUGAAAAAAAAAUUAAGUAUAUGAGUCUUCCUUUCCUAAAGAAAAUGAAAAGUUGGCAAAAUCUAUGACACUUGUCUUUGAAAAACUGAUGAUCAGUAAAAUCAAAAUCUUCAAAAAAAAAAAAAAUGGGAGGAAUGUUUUCUUUUGGAAAAAAGCAAAGCAAUUCAAUUCUGUGUCCAUGGUUUCUAGCAGUAAAUGUUCAGCAGUCUUAAAAUUCCGGAACAUGAUAAAAUGACAAACAGUUACUCCCUGUGACAUUAAAUCAAUGGUUCUAAUCAGGGGCAAGGAAAUGGCAACCCACCCCAGUGUUCUUGCCUGGAGAAUUCCAUGGACAGAGGAGUCUGGCGGGCUACAGUCCAUGGGGUCACAAAGAAUCAGACAUGAUUCGGCAACUAAACAAUCAGGGGGUAAUACUACCCCCAGGGAACACUUGGCAACCGCCGGAGAUGUUCUUGGUUGUCAUGCCCAGAGUGGGAGUUGCUAUAACAUCCAGUGAGUAAAGCCCAGGGGUUGUGCUGAACACGCAGACACCCCAGGAAAGACCCCACGGCGGAGAGUCAGCCCACCGCCAAAACGUCAGUAAGCAGAGCCCAGUCAGCUUGAGCCCGGUCUACCCUGUGAAGCAAGUCGGCCCACCGUGCAGCAUCUGCAGAAAAGGUUCAGUCUUUCUCAGAGCUCAGUCUUGUCUUUUUCAGAGCUAUCUAAAUUUCCUGCGGUCAGCCCAGAUGAAAAGCAGCUCAGACUGACUAAAAGCCUGAUAAAUAGGAAAUAACGUGGCGGCGGGGACAGGGCAGGGGGUAUUGUGGAGACUUGGGUAAGAAAGCAGCUUUUUGGAGGAAGAAAAAAAAAAAAAAAAAAACCCCCCUGCCUCUCCGCCCUGUGUUUGCUGCUCAUUAGCUUCCCCAGCGGCCUCUGCGCUCUUUACAAGAGAAACUUCCUCCGGGGGGCUGCGGGGCGGCGAGGGGCGCUCCAGGGAGGGGAGGGGGCGGGCGGUUUGCAAGUCUGAGGAAUACAAAUCCUCGACUAAAUUAAAACCAUGCUAUGAAGCCAUCACCUCACUGCCGAAUCUGUGGCCUCGGGUCAGGAUCGCUGCAGGAGGCCCCCGUCCUCAGUGUGUGCGCUUGUUAACAUUUUCUGUAAGGACAGCGGCCCCGGGCGAAGCCCGCUCCGAGCAGGACCCCCAAGCCCACAUCAAAAAUGACCACAGGCGGGACAGGCCCGGUGGGAGGGUCACCCCGCGCGGGGGUCCGGUCCCGCACACCCCGGGGGAGCGGCCCCGACCGAUGUAAAUGUGCGCUUUCAUUGAAAAUCACUUCGGGUUAGACAAAGCCCAUUCUUCCGCACUUGAAAAGCUUACCGGUUUCUGCAAUUCAUAUGUGUGAGAGAUGGAGAUUUUCCACGGACCCCAGAAGAGCCCGGUGGAGACAAUUCCUGGGCGGUUCACGCGCACAGCGCGGCCCGGGGGGAUGCAGGCGUCCCUCCAGCCCCGCUCCUGACCUCGGGGGACCACGCUUCCGCGCUGCGGGAGCGGAAGAGAAAGCCUGCCAUCCUUAGCUGAGGCGAGUUCAAAGAGGUUUUAAGCCGAUGCUAGGUAAAAGAGAAUCUUCUGUUUCUUCCGUAUUUUACUGACUUUCUAAAAUU
rnacentral:lncRNA from 1 species